AUCAGUUGUCAGCGCGACUGAAAUAAAAUGUUGUAUUAUAGAAGGCAACCCAAUUGAGUUGUCGAUAAACGUGUUAUCGAUUAGUGUAUUUUCCAUCUUGUGAACCCUAAACUUCAAAAAUGUCAAUUAAUUCGAAAUAACAAAACACAAUUUAAACAAUAAAAGAAUUUUAAAAUGAUAAGUUCAGUGGAAUUAUUUUUUGAUGAAGAAGAAAAUGUUCAGGACGUUGUAUCUAUUCGACGAAGCUUGAGAGAUAAUUCAAAUCCGUUGGAAUUGCCAUCGGUGCUGUUUAAGGCGUAUUUUCGGCUUCCAAAAGAUGCCGUAGUAUACAUAGUGGAGACUCUUAAAUAUGACUUCAAAGUAUGCUAAAGAUCAACAGCAAUUCCUCCACUUUUAAAAUUUGUGCUGCUCUGAGGUUUUUUGCGGAGGGAAGUUUCCAAAAGUCCCAUGGAAAUGAUUACAACAAUUGUAUGGCUCAACCCACAUUCUCGAACGUCCCCAGCGAAGUAGUGCACUUCAUAGAGUACAAAUUGUGUAAACUUUGGAUUGUUUCGAAGUUAACGGAGGAAGAGAAAAGACUAA